rnacentral:rRNA from 1 species
UACCAGAUACAAUCAAAGACCGCCUGGUCUUUGAUGGAAAGGUCUUCUACCGCUUACAGAUGGGCCCGCGGCGCAUUAGCUAGUUGGUGGGGUACGGCCUACCAAGGCGACGAUGCGUAGCCGACCUGAGAGGGUGAUCGGCCACACUGGGACUGAGACACGGCCCAGACUCCUACGGGAGGCAGCAGUAGGGAAUCUUCCGCAAUGGACGAAAGUCUGACGGAGCAACGCCGCGUGAGUGAUGAAGGCUUUCGGGUCGUAAAACUCUGUUGUCAGGGAAGAACAUCCGGGAUCACCUCCCGGUCUGACGGUACCUGAUCAGAAAGCCCCGGCUAACUACGUGCCAGCAGCCGCGGUAAUACGUAGGGGGCAAGCGUUGUCCGGAAUUAUUGGGCGUAAAGCGCGCGCAGGCGGUUUCUUAAGUCUGGUGUGAAAGCCCGCAGCUCAACUGCGGAGGGCCACUGGAAACUGGGAAGCUUUGAGUGU